rnacentral:rRNA from 1 species
UGGGGAAUCUUGCACAAUGGGCGAAAGCCUGAUGCAGCGACGCCGCGUGAGGGAUGACGGCCUUCGGGUUGUAAACCUCUUUCGACCCUGACGAAGCGCAAGUGACGGUAGGGGGAGAAGCAGCACCGGCCAACUACGUGCCAGCAGCCGCGGUAAGACGUAGGGUGCGAGCGUUGUCCGGAUUUAUUGGGCGUAAAGAGCUCGUAGGCGGCUCGUCGCGUCAGCUGUGAAAACCCGCAGCUUAACUGUGGGCUUGCAGCUGAUACGGGCGGGCUAGAGUUCGGUAGGGGAGACUGGAAUUCCUGGUGUAGCGGUGAAAUGCGCAGAUAUCAGGAGGAACACCGGUGGCGAAGGCGGGUCUCUGGGCCGAUACUGACGCUGAGGAGCGAAAGCGUGGGGAGCGAAC